rnacentral:tRNA from 1 species
CAAAUUAGAGCUUGAAUAAGUGUUUUAUUUACAUUAAAAAAAUGAUUGUUAAAAUCAAUUUAAUUUGA